rnacentral:lncRNA from 10 species
AUUUCAUCUUGACCAUCUUUGAGGGACUAUUGAUGCUUUUGGUAUCAGCAGCCACAGAAUUCAUCAGACACAGCACAAAAGAGCAGGAGAAGAGAUAAUGGCAGAUGCCAGAAGGAGACGGGUUUGGCUCUGUGAUUCAUCAGAAAUAAGAAAAACAAACACUGUAAAUGGAGAACUUGAAAAAGAGGUGGGCACCAUCUCCCCACCCAAGAGAAUGGAUUUAAGAGGAAAUUUGUUUAUGGGAUGAAGUUUUAAAAGGCGACCUGGAAAAUUUAGCAAAGAUGUAAAUAAACAACUCUUCCUUGGAUUGCAUUAGGCUUCAGAAUAAAUAUAUUAACCAGCUUCAGUCAAAGUCUGCCUAGAAUCUGACCCUGACAAGACCCAGUGACUAGUGCUGCUCCGAACCUUCCCCACCAACAGCAGGCAAUUUUCUCUGUGGCAAAGCUACCUCGAAACAGGCAUCCAGGCUUCCCUCCCACGAAGUGAAGAUGAGAAAACUGAGUCUCAGAAUGGACAAGCUCACAGAUGGCAAGUGGUAGAGCAGACUUCACACAUAGACAGGAAGUUUCCUUAGUAGUUAAAAGCCUGUUCUCUGAAGCCAGACUGUCUGGGUUUGAAUCCUGUUUCUAUCACUGCAAGAUAUCUAACCACACCAUGCCUCAGUUCCUCAUCUGUGGAAUGUAGUGUCUACAUCACAGGGGUGCUGUAAGGCUUAAAAUGGAAAAUGCUCAGAAAAGAACUUCACACAUUUUUUCUUGAGGAGCAACAGGAAAAGGAACCCUAAACAAUUGAAAGGGUAAGCUCAAGGUGUGACGCUGAUUUACAUUCAUGAAAAUGAGUUGAAAAAUGUGGUACCUUUGGGUCUUGUGCUGGGCUUAGCUGAACCCCAGGACACUGACAAACAGAGUUGCUGUCUAGUUGUUUCUAACUAUACUCAGCCUUUGCCAAGUUUUGGCCAGGCUAAUGGAAUCUUGUGGACACACAGGGUACAACAUGUAGGAAUCUCGGGGCCCCUUUUUCUUUUGUGUAGACACUUUCAAAGGUAGCCACAGCACACAGCAGGACUGAGACAGCUUGGAGUCUUGCUUUGUUCCCAGCAGAGGGACUUUCCUUUGG